UACGGAGGGUGCAAGCGUGUUCGGAAUUAUUGGGCGUAAAGCGCGUGUAGGCGGCUUGUUAUGUCGGGUGUGAAAGCCCUCAGCUUAACUGAGGAAGUGCGCCCGAAACUGGCGAGCUUGAGUGCCGGAGAGGAUAGCGGAACACCCGGUGUAGAGGUGAAAUUCGUAGAUAUCGGGUAGAACACCAGUGGCGAAGGCGGCUAUCUGGACGGACCACUGACGCUGAGACGCGAAAGCGUGGGAGCAACAGGAUAGAAAC
rnacentral:rRNA from 1 species